GGAUUUUAUCUUUUGCAAUGUUAGCCUUCUUGAGACUAAAACUGGUCACUGGCUCAUGCACACAUCAGAUCAAAAGUAAAUGUCAAAGAAAUGGGAUCAGUAUUAUGUUAUAAUGUGGAUCCCAAGAUAACAGCAUUAAUUGAAAUGAGUGCAGACACAGUGGUAGGUUGUUGAACUAUUGUGGGGAAUUAUUUGGGAGCAAUACAAGCAGUGGUGUUUUCUAUGGAAAGCCCUUUUCUGCCAAAAGUAAAUCAUUGUAAAGAGAAACGAUCUCAAAUAUUGACUUAGCAUCUCAAAACAGUGAGAAUAUUUAGAAUUAGUAUCUCUUCCUCACUUUAUGAUACUAAGUCAUUAUUUUGAGAUGCUAAGUAAAAAUGUUUAGCAACUUUCUAAUUAUAAUGACUUACAGAAUCCUUUUUUCCCGUCACAUUGACAUUAUAUGGCACAAUUCAAUGGAUAAAAUCAGGAGGAACCCAAUUUACUGACCAGGUUUCCAGAAGGCUAUAUGUAAAAAAAAAUAAUAAAAAAAAAUUAAAAAAUUAAUAACCUUAAUAGUUACAUCUUACAAUUAAAAAUAAAAACCUUCGGGUGUGAAGUGUGGAUUCAAGGGGGGCAGGUUGGAAAUGAGUCAAGACUAAUGGUCAGCCAUGGUUCAAUCAGCACUCGCCAGCCUGUUCACCUUUCUUAUUGUUAGCUUGUGUGACACUUCGGUAACAUGUAGUGUGAUUUUGUGUGUCCUCCCUUUCCUGCUUCCAUUAUUUAAGGCCUGUCACUUUGUAGCGAUUUAUAAGGGACGUUAUUCUAUUGUAAAAAACACGUUUUUGUAGUUUUGUCGCCCCCUUUGAUGCAAAUAAAACCAAGUUGUUAUUUA